rfam:Stegodyphus mimosarum contig20363, whole genome shotgun sequence.
GCCCUCGUGGUGUAAUGGUCAGCACACUCGGUGCGCAUUCGAGAGGUCCGUGGUUUGAAUCCCGGCGAGGGCA